ACUGCGUCUGCGCAGGCUGAGUGCGCGCGGAGAGGACUUCGCUGGUGGUAUCACGAGGCCAAUCCAGUCAGCAGGUGCAUGGAGUUCUACAUCCACCCAUAGUCCACCAAUCAUUCAGUGUGAAUGGUCUUGGAGUUAAUUCAACAGGAGAAGAGUCAAGUGAGGUUACAGAUGAG